UACGGGAGGCAGCAGUGGGGAAUAUUGCACAAUGGGCGCAAGCCUGAUGCAGCCAUGCCGCGUGUAUGAAAAGGCCUUCGGGUUGUAAAGUACUUUCAGUCGUGAGGAAGGUGUUAAGGUUAAUAACCUUAGCAAUUGACGUUAGCGACAGAAGAAGCACCGGCUAACUCCGUGCCAGCAGCCGCGGUAAUACGGAGGGUGCGAGCGUUAAUCGGAAUUACUGGGCGUAAAGGGCACGCAGGCGGUUAAUUAAGUUGGAUGUGAAAUCCCCGGGCUUAACCUGGGAAUGGCAUUCAAGACUGGUUAGCUAGAGUCUUGUAGAGGGGGUAGAAUUCCAUGUGUAGCGGUGAAAUGCGUAGAGAUGUGGAGGAAUACCGGUGGCGAAGGCGGCCCCUGGACAAAGACUGACGCUCAUGUGCGAAAGCGUGGGGAGCAAACAGGGAUUAGAUACC
rnacentral:rRNA from 1 species